ACAGGAAAGCAAACAGAAGAAAUAGCACAGUUAAGACUAACAGUGAACUGGAAUGGAACUAUAGACCAGAAUUAUAAAACAAAGUUUAUAAGAUCCGACAAAGAGCUUUUUUACAAAUUGCAUACCAACACAUUAAUUGGGCAUUAGUUAGACAUACUACAGUGUCUAGUUAAUUUGGGUACAGUAUAUUAUUAGCUAAAGGAGAAAAGAAAAGAUCAGAGAUCAAAGCAAUCUAAUCUAAACAUGUGGAUGUUUGUAUCAAGGAUCAACUAUGCUAAAAGCAAAAUCGCCUAGAUGAAGACGACUUGUGAAUGGCUUCAAUGCUUCCUAAACACACCAUCUGAUAUAAGAGCUCUUUGCCUCUUUCAUUAAGCUACGUAUGGUACACUGUCACCCAAGAAUACCUGGAAAUAUCGAUUCACGGAAUCGCUUCCCUAUAGUAAGGACUACAAAUAUGCAACAAGUUAUUUGUAUUAACCCUAUCUAGUAUCAUUGUCCAAAACAAUAUUGAACUUAGGCUGAGCUUUCCAAUUCCAAUUGAGUUGAUCAAGGAGGAACCUAGAUGGACUUGGAGAGUGAGUUGAAAAGUGAUGAAAUGGUUUAUAUGAAAACACACAAGAAAAAUCUGUGGUCUGCAUCCUCCGACUAAAAUUAACAGAUAAACGGGUACAAUAAUAAUAAGAAAACAGAUUGAAUGUUGCUCCAAAACCAAAAGUGUGUUUCUUUCCCUUCUUAAAAGAAGCACCAAUUGCUUCUCUUCAAUAGCACUUUUUUUUUGCUUCCAAAGUCACCUUAUAAGAAUUCAAUACCUUGGACAAACACCAUAAACAAUCCAAACUUUUCUUUUGGUUUAUAUUUUGGGCAGUAUUUGUUUUUCAGUGGCGCCUUCAUCGGAGGUCUUUCAUUUGAAAAAAUAAAUAUUAGAAAACUGCACAAACUUCAACCAAAGCAAGGACUAUUAUAGGUGUAACAGUAUAAGAAAAUGUCUGAUAUUAUGUAAAGCACCUAAAUUCUUAUCAUUCGAAUAUUGGACAGUGAAAUAACAUUUAGGGAAUGCAAUGCGGAGAAAGUUAUAGUAGCAUUUAUUAAGGGAAAAAUGGUAGAAAUGGAGAGUAGCCUAAUAAAUAGAGAUAGAGGGAGACCCAACAAUUUGCUUAACCAUUCUUAAAAGAUUCAGAUUUCAAUAGUUUAAAUAUUCACAUAAUUCAUGACAUAACACUGGCAUUAUAUAAUCCUUGAAGUUAACUCAACUAAGUAGAACAAAGCUUGGCUGUUAUUGUUUUGUCUUAAUUAAUUCAUCCCCUAAUAGCAAACACAUCAAACUUGCUUUCAAUGAAGUGCUCUCUUCCAUGGUAGAAACAAUAGUAAGUUAUGCCAAAAUGAUUAAGAACAAAAA